rnacentral:lncRNA from 1 species
GUUUUUCUCAACUAAAGAGACAAUUCCAAGGAAAUCAGAGUCUAUCCUACUCUGUUCCAAGAAGUAGAGGAACCCGUACCACCGUCGAUGGUGUUUUUAUUUGUUAUGGCAUGAAAAUCAUCAUUUCAAGAACUUCUUGGCAGGAGCUAAGGUAAAAAAAAAAAAAAGAAAAAAAACCAAAAAAACCCCCCAAACCCAAAAAAACACACUUUUAUAUUUGAACAGGCUUGCCUUUAGCCUGUUCCUCAGAAGUCAAGACAGCUGGC